AUACGUAGGGGGCGAGCGUUGUCCGGAAUGAUUGGGCGUAAAGGGCGCGUAGGCGGCGCGGUAAGUCUGGAGUGAAAGUCCUGCUUUCAAGGUGGGAAUUGCUUUGGAUACUGCCGCGCUUGAGUGCAGGAGAGGUUAUCGGAAUUCCCGGUGUAGCGGUGACAUGCGUAGAUAUCGGGAGGAACCCCAGUGGCGAAGGCGACUACCGGGCACAAUGCUGACGCUCAUGUGCGAAAGCUAGGGUAGCGAACGGGAUUAGAUACCCCGGUAGUCCUAGCCGUAAACGAUGGAUACUAGGUGUGGGUGUCGCAGGGCAUCCGUGCCGCAGCUAACGGGUUAAGUAUCCCGCCUGGGGACUACGGUCGCAAGACUGAAACUCAAAUGAAUUGACGGG
rnacentral:rRNA from 1 species